AGCAGCAUGGCUCAGUGGAAAGAGCCUGGGCUUUGGAGUCAGAGGUCAUGGGUUCGAACCCCAGCUCUGCCA
rnacentral:tRNA from 1 species